rnacentral:rRNA from 1 species
UACGUAGGGGGCAAGCGUUGUCCGGAUUUACUGGGCGUAAAGCGCGCGUAGGUGGAACGUUAAGUCCGGUCUGAAAGCCCCCGGCUCAACCGGGGAGGGUGGCUGGAAACUGGCGUUCUUGAGGGCGAGAGAGGAGGGUGGAAUUCCCGGUGUAGCGGUGAAAUGUGUAGAGAUCGGGAGGAACACCGGUGGCGAAGGCGGGUCUCUGGGCAUCUCCUGACGCUGAGGAGCGAAAGCGUGGGGAGCGAACAGG